AAUCACAUAUUAUUACAAAAAUAAUAAAUUUAAAAAAUAAUACUUAAAAAUCAACAAAGUAAUGUGGCUACAUUGAGAACACAGGUUUUGCUUCCAACACUGUAAUUUUAUUGCAGUGGUGACAAGGAGACCUGCAACAUUU